rnacentral:rRNA from 1 species
GACGAAGGGGGCUAGCGUUGUUCGGAAGUACUGGGCGUAAAGCGCACGUAGGCGGCCUUUCAAGUCGGAUGUGAAAGCCCCGAGCUUAACUCGGGAACUGCAUUUGAUACUGUUGGGCUAGAGACCGGGAGAGGAUAGCGGAAUUCCCAGUGUAGAGGUGAAAUUCGUAGAUAUUGGGAAGAACACCAGUGGCGAAGGCGGCUAUCUGGACCGGUACUGACGCUGAGGAGCGAAAGCGUGGGGAGCGAACAGG